CUCUCCAGAUUGGCAGCACCAGGGGAAACCCUGCACUUGGAUGCAUAUGGUGAACACAGUGGAAUGAAGCUGGAAGUCAGUCAUGAUGCUCACGUGCAGAAUAUUUGAGUAUUAUGCGUCAGGAGACCAUCUUAAUGUAGAUUAUGCAGUGCACACAGAGAUCCAGCUUGAUUUGGUGUUUCCUGUCUCAGCUGAUACUAGAGAGAAGCGGAAGUGAGGAACAGAGAAGUUAAGUGACUUAUCCACAGUCACACAGGAAGCUUGUGGCAACCAAGGAAGUGAACCUAGAUCUCUUAAGUUCUAGGCUAGUGCCCUAGCCCCGGACCAUCCUUCCUCUAAAAGUGAGAGAAGCAGUGAAACCUUCACUAUUAACCAUUAAACUGUCCCCAACAUCAGGGCCAGCUCCAGGCACCAGCUUAGCAAGCAGGUGCUUGGGGCAGCCACUCUGGAGAGGGGCGGCAUGUCCAGGCAUUCGGCAGCAAUUCGGCGGAGGGUCCCCUCGCUCCCGCUGAAUUGCUUCAUAUCGCGAUCGCAGCUUUUGGGGUUGGGGGGAGGCUGCUUGGGGUGGCAAAACCCCUGGAGCAGGCCUGCCCACCAUCCUCUGAAUCUGCACUGAUGCAGGUGAUAGCUUUCGUGCCAAUGUCAACAGCUACUUUUUCGUGUCAGCAUUGUGCUGGAGCUACAUAUUAGAUAAAGCCCUUGGUCAGUCCCUGCUUGGUAAGGAUGUCAUAGUUCAGCUUUGUUCAAGGCACGCUACAAAUCAAUGAGUGCUCCACGAAGCGCAAGAGAAGAAAAAAAGAUCUUGUCAUUUUUGUACACGCUCACGUGGCCUGCAC